UCCUGCUUAACGCAGGCAGUUCCCUUAGAGUGCCCAUCUUAAUGCUGGCAACUAAGGAUAGGGGUUGCGCUCGUUGCGGGACUUAACCCAAUAUUUCACAACACGAGCUGACGACAGCCAUGCAGCACCUGUCUCUAAGCGGCUAUAUUGCUAUAGUCAAAGGCUACAUCUCUGUAGCUUUUCUUAGGAUGUCAAGUCUAGGUAAGGUUUUGCGCGUUGCUUCGAAUUGAACCACAUAAUCCACCGCUUGUGCGGGUCCCCGUCAAUUUCUUUGAGUUUUAAUCUUGCGACCGUACUUCCCAGGCGGAUAACUUAACGCGUUAGCUUCGACACUGAAAAUAUCAACAUUCCCAACGUCUAGUUAUCAUCGUUUAGGGCAUGGACUAC
rnacentral:misc_RNA from 1 species